rnacentral:rRNA from 1 species
ACGCACGCUGGCGGCGUGCUUAACACAUGCCAGUCGAACGAAGCUUGAUUACGGAUUCUUCGGAUGAAGUAUGAUAUGACUGAGUGGCGGACGGGUGAGUAACGCGUGAGUAACCUGCCCUUCAGAGGGGGAUAGCGUUUGGAAACGAACGGUAAUACCGCAUAAUGUAUUUUGACCGCAUGAUCGAAAUACCAAAGAUUUAUCGCUGAAGGAUGGACUCGCGUCUGAUUAGGUAGUUGGUGGGGUAACGGCCUACCAAGCCGACGAUCAGUAGCCGGACUGAGAGGUUGAUCGGCCACAUUGGGACUGAGACACGGCCCAGACUCCUACGGGAGGCAGCAGUGGGGAAUAUUGCACAAUGGGCGCAAGCCUGAUGCAGCAACGCCGCGUGAAGGAAGACGGUUUUCGGAUUGUAAACUUCUGUUCUUAGUGAAGAAUAAUGACGGUAGCUAAGGAGCAAGCCACGGCUAACUACGUG